rnacentral:rRNA from 1 species
UACGUAGGUGGCAAGCGUUGUCCGGAUUUAUUGGGUUUAAAGGGUGCGUAGGCGGUUCUAUAAGUCAGUGGUGAAAUCCGGCAGCUCAACUGUCGAUGUGCCAUUGAUACUGCAGAACUUGAGUACAGACGAGGUAGGCGGAAUUGACGGUGUAGCGGUGAAAUGCUUAGAUAUCGUCAAGAACACCGAUAGCGAAGGCAGCUUACUAGACUGCAACUGACGCUGAUGCACGAAAGUGUGGGGAUCAAACAGG